rnacentral:rRNA from 1 species
GACGAACGCUGGCGGCGUGCCUAAUACAUGCAAGUCGAACGCAGUGGGGGCGGGUGAGUGACACGUGGGUAACCUCGCGUCAGAGGGGAUAACACUUGGAAACAGGUGCUAAACCGAUACUGAUGGAUGGACCCGCGUUGCAUUAGCUAGUUGGUGAGGUAAAGGCUCACCAAGGCUACGAUGAUUAGCCGACCUGAGAGGGUGAUCGGCCACACUGGGACUGAGACACGGCCCAGACUCCUACGGGAGGCAGCAGUAGGGAAUCUUCGGCAAUGGACGCAAGUCUGACCGAGCAACGCCGCGUGAGUGAAGAAGGUUUUCGGAUCGUAAAACUCUGUUGUUAGAGAAGCGGUAUCUAACCAGAAAGCCACGGCUAACUCCGUGCCAGCAGCCGCGGUAAUUC